rnacentral:lncRNA from 1 species
CUGGCCUCCAAGCUAACCUACUGUUUAGUGUCCCUUAAUUUGGUUGUAGUUGUAAACACAUGACUUCUUUUUUUGGUCUCGCCUUCUCUGUCUUCACAUGUGGGUUGGCAUUGCUUGAAUAGUCAAGUAGAACUUAGUAUGAGGAUGGUUGUCUUUCUUGAUUCCAGAAUAUACUAUGUGCUAGAGAUGGUAUGUCUUCCACUCUGGGCACAACUACUUGGCAGUUCUCUUAGCUCCACUGUCUACACCAUCACGACAAGUCUUCUAGCUGCAGAUUGUAUCCACUGUAAGCAUUUAGGAGAAGUACUUGCCGAAAAUGCCAAAAUCUAGUGACAACCUGGUGUUCUUGAAACUGCGUAUGCACAUAUUCUCUGCUGCGCUCUACUGUUAUUUUAGGGAAUAGACCUUUUCCAAUAUUGUCUGUUAAAUACAUUGGCGGCUUGAAUCUUCACAGAUUAGGAGAGUAAAGAAUGACCUCAGAACAAGUACUAAGUAUUAGGGACGAAGAAGCCUCUCUCUCUAUCCCAUUUUUCCUAGAGGGAUAAGGAAAAAAUGCAAGUUAUGGUUAGCAAUAAAACCGAAGAUACUGGUUUAGGUGAAAAUACAUGAGUAUACAUUUUCUGCACUAAGGAAUGGUUGACUAUAUAUUACUUGUGGGUGAAACAACAAAAUGAGUCCCUGGCGCAAACUAUGGUUGCUUUUUAAAAAAAAAAUGUAGUUGGGAUGAUUUGAGGCUUGUUCUUGCUUUGACAAAAUAAAAAAUAUCUCGGAAUACGAAUGCUACAACUGCAGAAAUGGAUGAUUAGAAGUUCAUAAAUGCAUCUAUACUUUGCAUGACUAAAUGAAGAGGAUAGUUGACAGAACGAAACCAAAUGACUUAUUUCACUACAUGCUUUAAACCACUCAAUAUUAAAUAUUAAAAUGGAAAGUUUGGAAUUCUCAAACUUUUCAAUCAAAAUGGGUUUAUCCUCUUUAUUAAUCAUCCACAGUAUGUAUGCACUCAAGUAAAUUUCAGCUUUUGAUUACUAAUUUCUUGUUAUAUGCAUUUUUGGCAUUAUACUGUAAGUCAAUCUAUUGGUAAGCAAGCUUAGCAUCUUAACUUCUGAAACAAGGUAUCAUGCUUUAAUGGCAGUUAUAAUCAUUAUGGGGAUUAGGGUUAUUUUUUAAAGGAGCAAUUUAGUUGCGUUCCAGAGGUUUUAUAUCUUAUUAUAUCAAAAUCCGAUACUUGGUCAACCGAUUAGGCUUACUGAUGGUUGUUUGUUGUUAACUCGAUUGCAGGAAUUCAACAAGGUAUUCGAAGAUCGAACAGAUGUUCAGGAGUUAUAGAGAACUCGAGAAGUCCAGUUAUGGAAUUGUAAAGAAGUGUAAAGAGAGAGAGAGAGAGAGAGAGUUAGAGAGAAAUGUAAUAAUUCUGAUUAUGAUUUGUAACUAUGAAUUACAAUGCUAUAUAAGAAUUGAGAGUUGAGUACUGUUUAUUACAACUGAAGGAAUCUUUCUCUAACUGCUUUCUCUAACUACCUAACUAACUUCAGCUAACCCCUAACUAACUUUUAACUACCAAGCUGACGUGACGUUGAACUGGAUUGUUAUUGAGCUUAUUGUGUAUUUUGUAUAUCAAUACUCCCUCUUGCAGAAGAUCCUUGACCACAAGGAUCAAAGUGAGGGAACCUAAUCUUCAAGGCAUUAAAGAACUCCCACGUAGCACUAUCAACUGGCAGCCUUGCCCAUUUAACCAAAACAUGAGCAACAACCUUAUUUCCCUUCUUUAUCAUCCUUCUCUGCAUAAUAGAUUAUGGCUCAGAGCAAUGAGGACUAGCAAUGUCAUUGGUAGGGGGUAAGUAACUUGUGUAGGUAACUCAUAGCAUUUUUUUAGGAGAGAAACAUGCACAGUAGGGUGUAUUUUAACUGAUUGUGGGAAUAAGAGGGUGUAUGCCACAUGGCCUACUUUCUUAGCAAUCUAGAAGGGUCCAUAAUAUUUGGAAGCCAAUUUGUGGAAAGGUUGUGAUGUAAUGGUCACUUUUGUGUAAGGUUGAGCCUUGAAGUAUACCCAAUCUCCCACUUCAAAAUUCCUGUCACUUCUAUGAUUGUCAGCUUGUUGUUUCAUCCUGAGUUGAGCUCUCAAUAGGUGAUGCUGCAAUAAUUGGAGCUUCAUCUCCCUAUUAAGGAAGGUGUUAUCAACCUCAGUGGAAGCUGAUUCUCCUGGUAAAUAGGGCAAGUGAAGUGGUGGUGGCCUGCCAUAAAGUGCCUCAUAAGGUGUAGUUCUUAUGGCAGUGUGGAAGGAAGUGUUAUGCCAAUACUCAGCCAUGUGAAAAUAGGAAUACCAAUCUGUGGCUUCUUCAGAGCAGAAACAUCUUAGAUAUGUCUCUAAGCACCUAUUUAGGAGCUCAGUUUGGCCAUCUGAUUGAGGAUGAUAAGUUGUUGGAUUGUUUAAUUGAACUCCCUGAAUUGCAAAUAACUCCUGCAAAAAUGUGCUUAAAAAUACUACAUCUCUGUCACUCACUAUGGAAUGUGGUAGUCCAUGUAGUUUGUAUAUGACCUCCAUGAAUACCUUAGCCACAGACUGAGCAGUAUAGGGAUGUUUCAAAGGGCUAAAAUGACCAUAUUUACUCAAUCUAUCCACUAUGACUAAGAUGACUUCAUAUCCAUGGGAUUUAUGAAGGCCAUAUAUGAAAUCCAUACUGAUUUGAGACCAAACUACCUCAGGAAUAGGGAGUGGUUGCAAAAGGCCAGGGUAGGCUGCCAAAUCAGCUUUAUUUCUCUGGCAAAUAUCACACCCUUGAACAAAGAGCUUGACAUCUUCUUUGAUCCCCUUCCAGUAGAAUAAUGACAGAAUCCUCUUAAGUGUUGCUUCUAUGCCACAGUGACCACCUUGAGGGGUAGAAUGUCAUAAUGAUAUAAUAUUCCGUCUAAGCCGAGGGUUCUUUCCAAUUACUAGCUUCCCCUUCUUUCUCAACUGAUUGUGAGUCCAUGAAAAUUGAUUGUGACUAGCUGGAUUGGUCUGCAAUUGUCCAAUGAGGGUCUUCAAAUCAUCAUCUGUAUUCCAGCUGUCAAAGAUAGCCUGCAGCAGCUCUGAACUAGUCGUGGAGAUUACUAAAGAGAAUAACUCAGCUCCAGGUAUCAUAGAUAGGGCAUCUGUUACUUUAUUUUCCACCCCUCUUGUAUUCAAUAACAUUAUCAAAAGGCAUCAACUUUGUUAGCCACAUAAGCUGAAAAUUUGUGUGUAGUUUUUGCUCCAUUAGGAACUUAAAGGCCUUCUAAUCAGUUCUUAUAAUAAAUUUCUGACCAAGUAGGUAUUGGGACCAUUUUGUGACAGCAUAAACAAUAGCUAAAAGUUCUCUAUCAUAAAUUGAGAGGGCAGCAUGUCUAGGAGAGAGUGCUUUGCUGAUAAAAAGCAAUAUGAUGUCUCUGUUGCAUUAAAACAACCCAUAUACCAUGUCCACUUGAAUCACUUUCAAUUAUAAAGGUCUUGUUAGCAUCAGGCAAUGCCAAACCUGGAGCCUGAAUCAAUGCAGUCUUCAACUGUUCAAAGGCUUCUGAAGCAGCAAGUGACCAUUUGAAAUUAUCUUUCUUGAGAAGGUCAGUUAGUGGCUUGCUAAUGGUAUCAAACCCUCUGAUAAAACUCUUGUAGUAACUAGCUAGCCCAGAGAAUCCUCUAAGUUGUUUAACAUUAGUAGGCAAGGGCCACUCCUUCACAACUUCUACCUUUUGAGGAUCUGUUGAAACCCCUUCAGCAGUAAUAAAAUGCCCAAAUAGUCUAUCUUUUGAACCCCAAAGAAACAUUUGCUAUGCUUAGCAAAUAGUUGAUGCUUCUUCGUUUCUCCAAAAACAGACUUCAAAUGUAACAGAUGGUCAUCCAUAUUGCUGCUAUAUAUUAGUAAGUCAUCCUUCCUAAGGAACUUCUGGAAAACUGAGUUAAUUAAUCCUUGAAAAGUUGUUGGGGCAUUUGACAACCUAAAGGGCAUUAUUAAAUACUCAUAAUGACCAGCAUAAGUUCUAAAAACAGUCUUUGGUAUAUCCUCAACUGCCAUCCUUAGUUGAUGAUAACCAGACCUUAAGUCUAUCUUUGAGAAGAUUUUAGAUUCUCCUAGUUCAUCCGGUAGAUCUUCCACAAUAGGAAUAGGAAAUUUGAUUUUUAACUGUCUGCUUGUUCAAAUCCCUAUAAUCGACACACAGCCUCCAAGUACCAUCUUUCUUUCCAACCAAACUACAUGUGCAACAAAAGGGCUGCUACUUGGCUGGAUAAUACCUUGAUCUAGCAUCUGUUUUACUAAGGUUUUAAUAACAUCCUUCUUGACUGAGGGAUAUUUAUAUGGUCUUUUUGUUUAUAGGUUCAGUUCCAGCUUGAAGAAUAAUCCUAUGAUCAAACACUCCUCUAGAUGGUGGCAAUUGUGUAGGUUCUUUGAACAACUCCCUCAACUCAGAGCACACUUUCUCAUUAUCAUCUUUGUGAGAAUGACAUUCAGGUUAGGAAGUCAAUGUGCCGAAUCAAGCACGUGCUUACUGAGAGAGCAAUCGAUGAACAAGAUCCAAGGAGGUCUGCUGAGAUGAAGAGGAUGAUAAAUGCUCAAUGAUCUUCUUAAACUCUCUUGACAUCAGUGGCGAUGCAACCUUUUUAAACUUUUUUUUGUUAAUAGGAUAGCUUUUCGUUUCUGUUAGGCGUUAGCACAGGUGCAGGAUGGUCACUAGUUUGCCAUUCACUUAUUGAAUAGAGAAAGUUCUGAUGUGGAACUGAUGAACUAUGUAACUAGGGUACAAUGGACAUGGCAAUUCUGUUUUAUAAUUAUUUGGAGUUCGGAAAUAAACGCCUCAUUUUGCUACUCACAUCCCUUUCUAUCUUUCUCUAUGUGGGCGCGUAAAUUCUUUUUAGCUAAGUUACUCGGACUUGGCAAUUUGGGUGCCAUAUCCGUGUCGACACGACACUGACACGGGUAAGGGUGUGGGAUCUGGGUCGGAUCCGGUCAAACGAGAUCGGGUGUGUUAACCAAACUUUUGGAAUUUUUUUUGAGAAUUGAUUUCCCUAAGUAAAGAUUUGAAGAGAUGGAAAACGAAAUACCUUCCAUUACACUGCUAUGUAGUAAUUUAUACUAGUCCUUUUGAAGCUUUUUGUCUUGAUCAAUCUUCUUGUUCAUGCUGCAGAUUUCUGAAAUUAAGAGUUAUAAUAUUUUUUUAGGGCAGAGAAGUUGAAGAUGGGUGGUGGACUACUGGACUGAGCUUAUUUGGAAGGCCCGGGUCUUG